rnacentral:tRNA from 1 species
GAUAGCUCAGUCAGUAGAGUAUGAGACUUUUGAUCUCAAGGUCAUGGAUUUGAGCCCCACAUAAGGCA